UAUAAGUGUAACCAUAAGUUUUUGUGUACAACUUCGAUCAUCCGUUUUAUUCGAAUUCUUUUUAAAUUAGUAUUUUUAUUGUUAUAAGAUGAUAAAAUAUGAAUAGUACUUUAUGCGUGGCUUAUGUUUUUAAUUUUUUUUAAAAAAAUAAAUAAGAUUGACGGUUAAUAUUGGACAUGAGAAAUAGUGG
rnacentral:pre_miRNA from 1 species